UACAGAGGUCUCAAGCGUUGUCCGGAAUCAUUGGGCGUAAAGCGCGUGUAGGCGGUCCGAUAAGUCCGCUGUGAAAGUCCAGGGCUCAACCCUGGGAUGCCGGUGGAUACUGUCGGGCUCGAGUCCGGAAGAGGAGUGUGGAAUUCCUGGUGUAGCGGUGAAAUGCGCAGAUAUCAGGAGGAACACCAAUGGCGAAGGCAGCACUCUGGGACGUGACUGACGCUGAGACGCGAAAGCGUGGGGAGCAAACAGG
rnacentral:rRNA from 1 species